rnacentral:rRNA from 1 species
CCUACGGGUGGCAGCAGUGAGGAAUAUUGGUCAAUGGGCGCGAGCCUGAACCAGCCAAGUAGCGUGAAGGAUGACUGCCCUACGGGUUGUAAACUUCUUUUGUAAAGGAAUAAAGUGAGGCACGUGUGCCUUUUUGUAUGUACUUUAUGAAUAAAGAUCGGCUAACUCCGUGCCCGCAGCCGCGGUAAUACGGAGGAUCCGAGCGUUAUCCGGAUUUAUUGGGUUUAAAGGGAGCGUAGAUGGGUUGUUAAGUCAGUUGUGAAAGUUUGCGGCUCAACCGUAAAAUUGCAAUUGAUACUGGCAGUCUUGAGUACAGGUGAGGUAGGCGGAAUGCGUGGUGUAGCGGUGAAAUGCUUAGAUAUCACGCAGAACCCCGAUUGCGAAGGCAGCUUACUAACCUGUGACUGACAUUGAUGCUCGAAAGUGUGGGUAUCAAACAGGAUUAGAUACCCUAGUAGUC